UACGGAGGAUGCAAGCGUUAUCCGGAAUGAUUGGGCGUAAAGCGUCCGCAGGUGGCUAUGUAAGUCUGCUGUUAAAGAGUGAGGCUCAACCUCAUAAGAGCAGUGGAAACUACAUGGCUAGAGUGCGUUCGGGGCAGAGGGAAUUCCUGGUGUAGCGGUGAAGUGCGUAGAUAUCAGGAAGAACACCGGUGGCGAAAGCGCUCUGCUAGGCCGCAACUGACACUGAGGGACGAAAGCUAGGGGAGCGAAUGGG
rnacentral:rRNA from 1 species